rnacentral:rRNA from 1 species
GACGAACGCUGGCGGCGUGCUUAACACAUGCAAGUCGAACGAAGAGCGAUGGAAGCUUGCUUCUAUCAAUCUUAGUGGCGAACGGGUGAGUAACGCGUAAUCAACCUGCCCUUCAGAGGGGGACAACAGUUGGAAACGACUGCUAAUACCGCAUACGAUCUAACCUCGGCAUCGAGGAUAGAUGAAAGGUGGCCUCUAUUUAUAAGCUAUCACUGAAGGAGGGGAUUGCGUCUGACUAGCUAGUUGGAGGGGUAACGGCCCACCAAGGCGAUGAUCAGUAGCCGGUCUGAGAGGAUGAACGGCCACAUUGGGACUGAGACACGGCCCAGACUCCUACGGGAGGCAGCAAUGGGGAAUCUUCCGCAAUGGACGAAAGUCUGACGGAGCAACGCCGCGUGAGUGAUGACGGCCUUCGGGUUGUAAAGCUCUGUUAAUCGGGACGAAAGGCCUUCUUGCGAAUAGUUAGAAGGAUUGACGGUACCGGAAUAGAAAGCCACGGGUAACUACGUGCCAGCAGCCGCGGUAAUAGGUAGGUGGCAAGCGUUGUCCGGAAUUAUUGGGCGUAAAGUGCGCGCUGGCGGAUUGGUCAGUCUGUCUUAAAAGUUCGGGGUUUAACCCCGUGAUGGGAAGGAGACUGCCAAUCUAGAGUAUCGGAGAGGAAAGUGGAAUUCCUAGUGUAGCGGUGAAAUGCGUAGAUAUUAGGAAGAACACCAGUGGCGAAGGCGACUUUCUUGACGAAAGCUGACGAUUAGGCGGGAAAGCCAGGGGAGCGAACGGGAUUAGAUACCCCGGUAGUCC